rfam:Felis catus isolate Cinnamon breed Abyssinian chromosome E1, whole genome shotgun sequence.
GCCUGGUUGGCUCAGUCGGGUAAGCAUCCAACUUCAACUCAGGUCAUGAUCUCGUAGUUCGUGGGUUCGAGCCCCACAUCGGGCU